rnacentral:misc_RNA from 1 species
CAAAUAUUAAUUUCUCGCAGAAGAAAUCAGAAAAUAUUCUCAAUUUCUCAGCAUCCAAACGCCCUUCAUCAGCAUCACCAUCAUCAUUAUCAUCAUGUUGUGGAUGGAGAUCCUUUGUGGUCUAAUCAUUUACAAGUUGUACCGCCGCUUCUUCUCCGACGAUGACGAUCUUUUGGAGGUCGAAUCCUCGGAUACCACUGCUCUUUUCAACGUUGCUAAUAGACUUGAAAAGCUUUAUGGAGGAAAGGUGUAUGUCGGUCUUCGAAUUCCAGAUGCUGAUACUGGUUCACGACAGAACGUGGAUAUGGUACUUGUUACCAAAGGGGAGGCAGUGGUGAUCUCUGUCAAGAAUUUGUCAGGAUUGGUAACAAUUAGUGGUGAUGGCAGCUGGGUUUGUGAAAGUAGUAAACACAAGGCAGAGCAUUUUCCUGAUCCUGUGGGGGAGACAAAGAAACAAGCAUCUGUUCUUGAAUCAUAUUUAGAACAAAGGGGAGUUGCUCUACCAGAAGGAUAUUUGUCUUACAAAGUUGUGCUUCCAAAUCCAAAGUUCUGGACCAUUCAUUUGAGCAAUUUUCCUUCUGAGGUCAUUACAUAUGAUCAGUGGGUGCAGUUGAAACCGGAACCAAAAGGCAUGUUUUCUGGGUGGAUUAAGGGUGCCUUUCGUGGUGGAAAGAAAGACAUGCAAGAAUCUAUACAUGAGAAGCUUAAUUUUACUCUCAGCACAGCUCCAAUGUGGGACAGGUUGGAGCUUAAAGGUAACAAAUAUAUCCUAGGAGAAUUUCUGGAAUUCAAAGGAAAAGAAGAAGAUAUCAUUACUUUGAGAAACAUCAAGAGAUCAAAAGUUAGACGUCUUGUUGUCCAAAAGACAAGCAUGUUGGGACUAGCCCAUUCAAAGCUUCAAGUAUUGUACUCCCCUCGCGAUUAUAGGAGUGAAGGGGCUUCAAGUUCUGAGUGGAAAGAAGCAACCGUGAGAUCAAGUACAGAGGUGUUAUUUCAGCCAGAGAACUCCAGAAAAGUUCGCAAAUUCAAACUCUCUUCAAUUAUCUCCAUGUCGUUGAGUGCCUGAAGAUGCUUUUGAUGAAUGUGUAUUUCAUUGCUGGAAUUCACAGUUAUGAUGCGCCCUAGAAGUUUAAACUGCUUUCUCAAUAAGUGUGGUGUUAAUUGUCAUGGUUGUGUGGCAUAUAUGCUCAGUUAUUACAACCCCAUACCACACAUACAUGCCACACAACCAUGACAAUUAACACCA